CAGUAGCCGCGGUAAUACGUAGGUGGCAAGCGUUGUCCGGAAUUAUUGGGCGUAAAGGGCUCGCAGGCCGCUUCUUAAGUCUGAUGUGAAAGCCCCCGGCUCAACCGGGGAGGGUCAUUGGAAACUGGGAAACUUGAGUGCAGAAGAGGAGAGUGGAAUUCCACGUGUAGCGGUGAAAUGCGUAGAGAUGUGGAGGAACACCAGUGGCGAAGGCGACUCUCUGGUCUGUAACUGACGCUGAGGAGCGAAAGCGUGGGGAGCGAACAGGAUUAGAUACCCCGGUAGUCCCUGUCUCUUAUAC
rnacentral:rRNA from 1 species